rnacentral:tRNA from 1 species
GCGCCAGUGGUUUAGUGGUAAAACCCAUCGUUGCCAUCGAUGGGCCCCGCCUUCGAUUCGCGGCUGGCGCA